UACGUAGGGGGCAAGCGUUGUCCGGAUUUACUGGGGGUAAAGGGUGCUCAGGUGGCUUGGAAAGUCAGUGGUGAAAUCUGAGAGCUUAACUCUCAAACUGCCAUUGAUACUUCUUAGCUUGAGUACGGAAGAGGCUGAUGGAAUUUCAGGUGUAGCAGUGAAAUGCGUAGAUAUCUGAAAGAACACCAGUGGCGAAGGCGGUCAGCUGGUCCGUUACUGACACUAAAGCACGAAAGCGUGGGUAGCAAACAGG
rnacentral:rRNA from 1 species